CCCUACUGCUAUCGGGGUGGGACUAAGACAUGCUAGUCGAACGUCUCCAAGCCACGGAGGAGACGUGGCAGACGGCUCAGUAACACGUGGCCAACCUAACCUUGAGACAGGAAUAACCUCGGGAAACUGGGGACAAUUCCAGAUAGGCGAGGAAGUCUGGAAUGACUCCUCACCCAAAAGAUGUCCCAACCACGCACAAGACAUCGCUCAAGGACGGAGCCGCGGCCGAUCAGGCAGUUGGUAGGGUAAAGGCCUACCAAACCAAUAACCGGUACGGGCCGUGAGAGCGGGAGCCCGGAGAUGGGAACUGAGACAAGGUCCCAGGCCCUACGGGGCGCAGCAGUUACGAAAACUCGCCAAUGCACGAAAGUGUGAGCGGGCUACCCCGAGUGCCGUCCGCUGAGGAUGGCUUUUCCACGCCGUAAGGAAGUGUGGGAAUAAGGAGAGGGCAAGUCUGGUGUCAGCCGCCGCGGUAAAACCAGCUCUCCGAGUGGUAGGGAUGAUUAUUGGGCUUAAAGCGUCCGUAGCCAGCCUAACAAGUCUCUCGUUAAAUCCAACGAUUCAAUCGCUGGACUGCGGGAGAUACUGUCAGGCUAGGAGGCGGGAGAGGCCGACGGUACUCUUGGGGUAGGGGUGAUAUCCUAUAAUCCCAGGAGGACCACCAGUGGCGAAGGCUGUCGGCUAGCACGCGCUCGACGGUGAGGGACGAAAGCUUGGGGAGCGAACCGGAUUAGAUACCCGGGUAGUCCAAGCUGUAAACGAUGCGGGCUAGGUGUUGGGGUGGCUACGUGC
rnacentral:rRNA from 1 species